AGAAUAACAAGCAAGUAUAAGCUUUAUAGUGUUUGGACCAUAGGCAAUAAUUCCAUUAGAUCAACUAGAAACAUAUGGUUUGAUUGCAUCUUUCAAAGACAUAGCAACAUGGCUGAUCACCCUAUGCAUUCAUUCACUGGCUCAUGAUUAGAUUUAUCCACAUAUCCAUUACAAGUUUUGCUAAUGAAAACAACAACUCUCGAAAAACAUAUGCAUCAUCCAUGGAACGAACAAAACAACCAAAAGACGGGUGUGGCAGCUCGAUAAUGCCCUUCCAAGGAGGCGAUCACGAAGGGGAAAGCAUUUACACCAUGCUACUUAUAUUUCCAGUAAGUAUUGCACAUGCAAAAGAUUGCAGCAAAGAGGGUCCCCUCUUCACUCGUGGGGAUGGACCAAUUCAAUAGGGAUUUUCCUAGCACACCCAUCAGGGAGCCCAGAUCAAUCAAGCCGCUCGAGCUGCCUUCUGAUGUAGACCGUACAUCGGCAUCUUGGUGGUGGGCGUCAAGCAGAAUCAUGGUGAUAUCCACGGUUGAUAGAUCUCUCCACGAGCUGCUCGAGUUUGCCUUCUCAUGCAGACCGUACGCCAGUGUCUUGGUCCUUGGGCGUCAAGCAGAAAAUCACAUGGUUGCAUCCCGUAGAAACUGUACAGGCAAAACAACAAAUAACCACAACUCAGUUGGUUAUCAAUAAGAAUAAACAAAUUCAGCCAAUUCAACAGCGAGUAGAGAUUUCCAUGCAUCAAUACCAUGAUUUCUAGAUAUUCCCGUCUUUCUCCAUCCUAUUCAAAUACAUACACAGAACACUCAUGCAAUGCCUCAGCCCCCCGACAAAAGCACCAAAGGAGAUGAUUUAAUUUGGUACAACUCAAGCAAAUCAAGGAUGGUCAAUUAAGAAAUUCAUCCAUGCACUCCAAAUCAAGUAUGAUCCAUUACUACACCGGAUGAUCCAUCAAGCCUAAGUGCCUAACCAAGGAUUACCAAACUAAUCCUACAAUAGCAUGAAAGAAACAUGUUCCACAACUAAAAUCAAACACAACAGAGCUAGCUAGCUGUUCACCACGAUUCUGAAAACAAAAGUUAAUCGAACACCAGGACAAAACUAGCUAAGCUCCUGAAACUAAUCCAAGACAGCCAACUUAAUCGUCACCGCCGAUGAUUUAUAUGCACUCAUUUCAUUUCCCAAACUGAGUUUGGAAGGUGAUGGAGACGCACAACAGAGCAUGCAUUUCAAUUCCCAAUUCGUUCAUUUCCCUCCAUUACACGAUUCUUGUGGCAACAGCGAUGUGCAGGCAUACAAGACAACAUCAGUCGGUCACUUUGCCUUUGGUGCCGUCUUAAUUAACCUACUGAUUGCGCAGAAACUAAACGUGAUGUUAAUGGUCUUGAUGUAUACCCGAUCCAGCAAAGACACCAAUGGUCGCUAGAUCAAGGAACACAUGAUAAACACAAUGUCACAGCCAAACAGAGCCAAAAGCACCUACUACAGAACAACAGGUGGCAUACCCUCAUCCUCAGAAAUGCAUUUUUCUCAGAAAAGAAUGCAAAUGUGAGACGGAAGAGCAAUCACUGUUGGGCACCUUUUGAAGUUAAGUAGGCCACACACAGAUGGAAUCGCUGGUGAACUUCUCCCCCGUGCACACCACACGACGGUCUCCAGAGUAUAUCACUCAAUGAUCGUCUAGCAAUUACGGUAAAACACCUAAGAAAAAUAUUAAAUAUAUUCAUCAACUAAUCCAUAAAUCACAGGUCACGUUACAUAACGGAUUGCCUGAAAAAUAUAUUAAAUAUAAUUAAACAAACAACUCAGUAAAUUACAAUGCUCUGAAGGAAGCCAACCAGCUAUUUUGCAACACUCUUAAGUGACAAUGUCAACAACAGCAACUACAAUUAUGCAUGAGUAGUAUAUAAACAAAGCAGAUCACAAUCACUUUGACUUGUUUGAGGAGUCUCAAAACUCUUACUUAACCUACUGAAAUAGACACCAUUGCAAAGCAAUAACAAUGUGAUUCUAUGCACUCAAUUUCAAUUCCCAAACUGAGCUUGGAAGGUGAUGGAUAUGUACAACACAACAAGCAUUUCAUUCCAAAAUUGUUCCUUUCCCUUCAUUCCACAUGCUUGUAGCAAUAGAAGCUAGAACAAGGAACACAAGAGAAACACCAUGUCACAACCAUACAGAGCCAAAAUUACCUACUACAGACUAACCUAUGGCACAUCCUCGUCACCUGAAAUGCAUUUUAGCUCUAAAAAAGAAUGCAGUGUUCCUCUCAGAAAAGACUGCAAACACACACCAUCGAUGACGGCAAGCAAGACAGAAGGGCACUCACCGUUAAGCGCCGUUUGCAGUUGAAGUAGACCUCACACUGACAUACUUGCUGGUGAGUUCUCCCCCACGCACACCACAUGGCGCUCUCUGGAGUAUAUGGCUCGACACUCAUCUAGAAGUUACAGUAAAAUACCUGACAAACAUAUUAAAUAUCCUCAGCAGCUGAUCCACAAAACACAGGUCACAUUAAAUAAAGAAUAGGAGGUCAUGACAUAUAUAAUUAACAAACCACACAGUGAACUACGAUGCUGUGAAACAAGCCAACCAAUCUGAAGGGACAGUGUUAGCAACAUGGGCAUCUGUGAGUGCAUCAGCUAGCACUACUAGUAUCAAAACUAUCAACAACUAGGUGCUCCCGAGUGCCAAUCAGGGUGGCAAUAUUUUUACAAGGAUACCAAGGGCGCCUCGCUAACAGACAGCCAAAAGGGCGACUAGUUCAACCCUAAAAGUAGACCAGACCACACAAAUAAUACUAACUACAUAGGUGUGGAGGCAGCGACGCAUGCGGAGGGGCGCGUGGAUUCCAUCACUGAAUCUAGGAAGAACUGCUUCACUGAAAACACAUGUUACGUGGCCCGUUAUCAGGAUUACAG
rnacentral:lncRNA from 1 species